UACGUAGGGUGCGAGCGUUGUCCGGAAUUACUGGGUGUAAAGAGCUCGUAGGUGGUUUGUCGCGUUGUUCGUGAAAACUCACAGCUCAACUGUGGGCGUGCGGGCGAUACGGGCAGACUGGAGUACUGCAGGGGAGACUGGAAUUCCUGGUGUAGCGGUGGAAUUCGUAGAUAUCGAGAGGAACACCUGCGGCGAAGGCGGGUAGCUGGGCCGACACUGACGCUGAGGCGCGAAAGCCAGGGGAGCGAACGGG
rnacentral:rRNA from 1 species